AGGGCACCACCAGGAGUGGAGCCUGCGGCUUAAUUUGACUCAACACGGGAAAACUCACCCGGCCCGGGCACUGGAAGGAUUGACAGAUUGAGAGCUCUUUCUUGAUUCAGUGGGUGGUGGUGCAUGGCCGUUCUUAGUUGGUGGAGUGAUUUGUCUGGUUAAUUCCGAUAACGAACGAGACUCUAGCCUACUAAAUAGAUCGUCGGCUUACAAACGCCGGCGAGACUUCUUAGAGGGACAGGCGGAGAUUCAACCGCACGAAACAGAGCAAUAACAGGUCUGUGUUGCCCUUAGAUGUCCGGGGCCGCACGCGCGCUACACUGAAGUGAUCAGCGUGCUUUUCAACCUACUCUGUCAAGAGUGGGGAACCCAAUGAACCUUCCUCGUGAUUGGGAUAGGGGAUUGUAAUUAUUCCCCUUGAACGAGGAAUUCCCAGUAAGCGCGAGUCAUAAGCUCGCGUUGAUUACGUCCCUGCCCUUUGUACACACCGCCCGUCGCUACUACCGAUUGAAUGUUUUA
rnacentral:rRNA from 1 species